UUGACGGGGACCCGCACAAGCGGCGGAGCAUGCGGAUUAAUUCGAUGCAACGCGAAGAACCUUACCAAGGCUUGACAUAUACGAGAACGGGCUAGAAAUAGUCAACUCUUUGGACACUCGUAAACAGGUGGUGCAUGGUUGUCGUCAGCUCGUGUCGUGAGAUGUUGGGUUAAGUCCCGCAACGAGCGCAACCCUCGUUUAUGUUGCCAGCACGUAAUGGUGGGAACUCAUGGGAUACUGCCGGGGUCAACUCGGAGGAAGGUGGGGAUGACGUCAAAUCAUCAUGCCCCUAUGUCUUGGGCUUCACGCAUGCUACAAUGGCCGGUACAAAGGGCUGCAAUACCGUAAGGUGGAGCGAAUCCCAAAAAGCCGGUCCCAGUUCGGAUUGAGGUCUGCAACUCGACCUCAUGAAGUCGGAGUCGCUAGUAAUCGCAGAUCAGCAACGCUGCGGUGAAUACGUUCCCGGGUGCUUGUACACACCGCCCGUGCAAGUCAUGAAAGUCGGUAACACCUGAAGCCGGUGGCCCAACCCUUGUGGAGGGAGCCGUACGCA
rnacentral:rRNA from 1 species